GCACAACGCGAAGAACCUUACCAGGUCUUGACAUCCUGCUGACCGGUCCGUAACGGGACCUUUCCUUCGGGACAGCAGAGACAGGUGGUGCAUGGUUGUCGUCAGCUCGUGUCGUGAGAUGUUGGGUUAAGUCCCGCAACGAGCGCAACCCUUAUCUUUAGUAGCCAGCGGUUUGGCCGGGCACUCUAGAGAGACUGCCAGGGAUAACCUGGAGGAAGGCGGGGAUGACGUCAAAUCAUCAUGCCCCUUAUGAUCUGGGCUACACACGUGCUACAAUGGUGACUACAAAGAGAAGCGAAGUCGUGAGGCGAAGCAAAUCUCAAAAAGGUCAUCUCAGUUCGGAUUGUAGUCUGCAACUCGACUACAUGAAGCUGGAAUCGCUAGUAAUCGCGAAUCAGAAUGUCGUGGUGAAUACGUUCCCGGGUCUUGUACACACCG
rnacentral:rRNA from 1 species